ACAUGAGUCAUCACCAGGAAGGCACAAAAGGAAAACAGACAGGAGAAUGGGCCAGUGGAUAUAUUCUUGCCUCUCCCCGUUUACAGUCUCGGGGAAAACCUGUGACUACAUCUCUCUUCCUGCUUUGUACCUCUCUCAUCUCCCAGACCAACUGUGAUCCUAGCUGAAAAGGGGGUGAUUUACCUAGAGCAGAAAGAAUGGAAAGCCCUGACCCAAGCCCGCAGAGCAGCAGGCAGUUUAUAGAUGAGACAACGAAGGCAUGGAGAUGUUAAGUGACCUGUUCAAGAAUGAAAGCAGUGUCUGAGCUGAGGGAGGUGUUCUUCUCAAUGUUUUUGGGCUGUUCAGUCCACAUCUGGAGCUUGUGCCCACUUCUGGACACCGCUGGGAGAAUUUGAGCCAUGGUGGGGUCAGAUUGGAGGGAGGGGCUAGGAACCCUGUCACAGGAAGAAAGUGCUGGGAGGAAGGCCAAUUCAGAAGGUUCAUGGCCAAGGUGCCAAUCUCCAAAGGAUCGGGGCAGAGGGCACAGAGGCGGGCUGCAGCCUUUGUGCUCUCACUGAGCUGGAGAUUCAGGGCGGUCUCCCUGGGCAGGGUGUCUCCUCCCUUCAGGUCACCAGACCCAGGUCUAUACUCCCGGCCUUCUCUCGUGGCCCCACGUCUCUGGAGCUGAAGACAGAAGUGGCAACAGGAUGAGAGUCUGACCCAAGGUCCACGCUUCUGGGACAGGAAAGCACCAAAGACCCUACAGGGAAGCAAAUUCAAGUUGUCAUGGGGCCCAAGCCUGUAAUGAAAACAAGUGAAGCUAGUUGGGCACUGGCCUUUUAAAUGUACAGAAAUAGUUUCACUUCCACAGAUAAAUAUGUCAGAUCAAUUUUCCUUA